UACUUAGAUAGCUUAAUUUAAAGCACUGGUCUUGUAAAUCAGAAAUGAAAAAUAAAAUUUUCUCCAAGUAU
rnacentral:tRNA from 1 species